rnacentral:rRNA from 1 species
CGAUGGGCCGACGUCGCAUGCUCCCGGCCGCCAUGGUUAGAGUUUGAUCAUGGCUCAGAACGAACGCUAGCGGCAGGCCUAAUACAUGCAAGUCGAACGGAUAUGAGGACUUCGGUUCUCAUGUUAGUGGCGCACGGGUGCGUAACGCGUAUGCAACCUACCUUUUACUGGGGGAUAGCCCGGAGAAUCCGGAUUAAUACCGCAUAACAUCAUUUGAGGGCAUCCGAAGAUGAUUAAAGAUUUAUUGGUAAAAGAUGGGCAUGCGUGCCAUUAGCUAGUUGGUGGUGUAACGGACCACCAAGGCGACGAUGGCUAGGGGUUCUGAGAGGAUGAUCCCCCAAACUGGUACUGAGAUACGGACCAGACUCCUACGGGAGGCAGCAGUAGGGAAUAUUGGGCAAUGGACGCAAGUCUGACCCAGCCAUGCCGCGUGCAGGAUGAAGGCCUUCUGGGUUGUAAACUGCUUUUAUCUAGGAAGAAAAACCCUUGCGAGGGGAACUGACGGUACUAGGUGAAUAAGCACCGGCUAACUCCGUGCCAGCAGCCCGCGGUAAUUCGGAAUGGUGCGAGCUUUUGUCCGGAUUUUUUGGGUUUAAAGGGGUGCGUAGGCGGCCCGUUUAUGUCCAUUGUUAAAUGCCUAACAGCUCCAAUCUUGGUUGGAACUUGGCCUCUUGGGUAUUAUUUGACCGGGCUUGGAUGUACCUAACCUCGGAUAUGCCGGCAAAUGGGAAUGGGUGUAACCGGGUUGUAAAAUGUGAUUAGUAUAACUCAUUGCCGGUAACCAUCCCGUGUAUUUGCCGAUAGUUAGCGCGAUGCCUGUAACCUCUGAGUGUCUGUGUGAAUCGUGAGAAAC